AUACGGAGGAUCCGAGCGUUAUCCGGAUUUAUUGGGUUUAAAGGGAGCGUAGAUGGAUGUUUAAGUCAGUUGUGAAAGUUUGCGGCUCAACCGUAAAAUUGCAGUUGAUACUGGAUAUCUUGAGUGCAGUUGAGGCAGGCGGAAUUCGUGGUGUAGCGGGGAAAUGCUUAGAUAUCACGAAGAACUCCGAUUGCGAAGGCAGCCUGCUAAGCUGCAACUGACAUUGAGGCUCGAAAGUGUGGGUAUCAAACAGGAUUAGAUACCCUGGUAGUCCACACGGUAAACGAUGAAUACUCGCUGUUUGCGAUAUACUGCAAGCGGCCAAGCGAAAGCGUUAAGUAUUCCACCUGGGGAGUACGCCGGCAACGGUGAAACUCAAAUGAAUUGACGGGG
rnacentral:rRNA from 1 species